GCCUCUAUAGCUCAGUGGCAGAGCGUCUGUCUUGUAAACAGAAGGUCUGUGGUUCGAUCCCGCAUAGAGGCA
rfam:Heligmosomoides polygyrus genome assembly, scaffold: HPBE_contig0002942